AUACGUAGGGAGCAAGCGUUGUCCGGAUUUAUUGGGCGUAAAGAGCUCGUAGGCGGUUCAGUAAGUCAGGUGUGAAAGCUCUGGGCUCAACUCAGAGAAGCCACCUGAUACUGCUGUGACUAGAAUCCAGUAGGGGAGUGUGGAACUCCUGGUGUAGCGGUGAAAUGCGCAGAUAUCAGGAAGAACACCAGCGGCGAAGGCGGCACUCUGGGCUGGUAUUGACGCUGAGGAGCGAAAGUGUGGGUAGCAAACAGGAUUAGAUACCCUGGUAGUCCACACCGUAAACGUUGGGCACUAGGUGUGGGGAGGAAUCAACCCUUUCCGUGCCGUAGCUAACGCAUUAAGUGCCCCGCCUGGGGAGUACGGCCGCAAGGCUAAA
rnacentral:rRNA from 1 species